rnacentral:rRNA from 1 species
CCCUUAGAUGUUCUGGGCCGCACGCGCGCUACACUGACGAAUGCAACGAGCUUAUAACCUUGGCCGAAAGGUCUGGGUAAUCUCCAAAUUUCGUCGUGAUGGGGAUAGAUUAUUGCAAUUAUUAAUCUUCAACGAGGAAUGCCUAGUAAGCGCAAGUCAUCAGCUUGCGUUGAUUACGUCCCUGCCCUUUGUACACACCGCCCGUCGCUCCUACCGAUUGAAUGGUCCGGUGAAGCGUUCGGUCCGUGGCCUUUGGACGGUUCGCCGUCUGUUGGCUGCGGGAAGUUCGUUAAACCUUAUCAUUUAGAGGAAGGAGAANUCGUAACA